AAAAUUACUGCCUAAUUGCAAGAUCGUCGAGCGAUGUCAAUAUCAUGUGCUAAUAAUUAUUUAGAGUAAGUAAUUGUAUUUACCUUUUUACAUUAUAUUGUACGUACGAGUUUAUUGUGGCUUUGGUGUAUUUUGGUCUACAUCAAUGACAUUUUUGGCUGUUGCUUCUACAAACUUCUUGGUUUAACCAUAUUGCUCCCUUUGGACAGAGGUUCAAAGGCGCAAUGAGCUUUGCUUACAGUACGACAUCCAUGAAUGCAGGAGCAAGAAGAUUUAAGCACCUUCAAAGAUUUGAAUAUAUUGUUAUAUUUUCUUUAAUAAUGUUUUCGUAAGAGCAUCACUAAUAGAUGAUGUAUAUGUAAAAAUAAUCAAAAACUAAGGCCAAAAACGUCCCUCCAAUAAAUGAUAGAUGCAAAAAAUAAUUCUCAGGUGUUACUCUACAUGUAAAAUACAUCAUCAAGUGAUGCAAAUAUACAUCAUAAGACGCGCGGUCGAGUAAAGUGGCAAUGCGUCGCACGAAAGCCCAACUGUCAUGCGGAAAUUUCCCGCAGCCCGCCUGCCCUCCCGCUGCCCACCGCCUGCCAGACCCCAUGGCGGACUCCCCCGACCCUACGGCCGCCGCAGCCAGUCUUACGCACCUCGCCAUGGCCGCCGCCACGGCUCCCACCUUUCUCGACGCCGCCAUGCCGCCCCCCAUCUCGUCGCACCAGAUUUGUUUGGGCCCGUCCCGUGGCUGCCGCUGGUAUGGGUGUGCCGCCGAUGAAGAAGGCGAUCGCGGCCAAAUCUCGUGGUGGAGGCACGAAGCAGCCACCGCAGCUUCAUCCUAGUCCAAGAAGACCAAGGCGGACGCGGCUGCUUCGUUGCCGCUUCUGCCCGCGGCAAGUGCGCCCGGUGAUGGCACGACAGCCCCACCACCACCACCACGGCAAGCCACGCCGCCGGCCAUCGAGGAGGACCCGUCCAUGCCCGUGGCUACCGCCUUCAACGUGCUCAACGAAAUGUCGCAAAGUCUUCAUGAUGACACAUCUAUGUGCAUGAAAAAGGUCGCGACCGAAGAUUUUGUCUCUCAAGAAUAUGCAUUGCGAGAAUAUGAUACUCAACUGGGUGAUGAGAAUGUCGACAUAGAUGAGGAGGGCCUGUUGACAAUGUGAAGGGAAGAACCGCAAAUUAUUCGGACGUCGAAUAUGUAUUGAUUUGUACCGUGUGGAAGCGAGUCUCUCCUGACACAUCCGUGGGAAGUGACCAAUCUGCGGCCACAUACUGAAACCGCAUCAAAGAUUUCUUUGAUGAGCGCAACACUAGUGGCCACUAUUGAUCAAGGGAUUCUAUUCACCGCCAAUGGGGCACCAUCGGCACCGAAUGCCAAAAGUGGGCAGGUUGCUUGGCCAAUAUUGACCGCAUGAACCCUAGUGGUUGCAAUGAAAAAGACAAGACAAUUGCUUGCUACUUUUGAGUGCUUUCUCAUGCUACAUUAACCAAGUAAGCAUAUGUACCUAAAUCAA